UGUGAGACAAAUGCUAGAUGAUUAUUUAAGUUCCUAAGAGAUGCUCUAGUUCUAACAGGUUGAGAUGGAUCAUCUAAAAUUAAUUUCUUAGGAUGCCCAUGAGCAUACCUCCAAGCCUUAGUCAGCCCAUGAUCCACAAUUGCCUCUUAGCUUGUUGAUGCAUCUCCAAUUAGCUUUGGUUCAUCUUCUUGUAAUGUCAUCUCAUCAAUCUUUUCUUCAAGAAUUUCUGCAUCAUCAUCAGGAGCAACUUUCUUGCUAGAAGAGAUAUCAUUAGUAUCAUCAAAAACAACAUGUAUAGACUCUUC
rnacentral:lncRNA from 1 species